UUCCUCUCUCGAUUCUUCGAACUAGGUUUCAGAGCAGAAAUCUAAUCUCAAAUGUGAACGAUGAUCGUUAAUCUGAUUAAAUCCAAACCUUCGAUAUUCUCCAACUUCAAUUCAAUUUCUAUUCACUAAUAACCUUGAGAUUUAAUCUAUGCUCAUACUAAUCUUCUUUCCAAGGGUUUUCCUAUUGAAAUUGGGGGUUUUAAGUUUGGUGUUUUAGGGUUUUAUGAAACUAAUUAAAUCACCCCCACCAUCCUCUUCCACCUGCUUCGGAUACUGUUGAAUCACCACCACCACCACCCUACUCAUUCAAAAGAAUCACCACCACCGCGCUCCUCCGCUCCUAAGUGAGUCGUCCACCACCAGCAUCAACACCACCAUGAUGUAUUUUUGAUGUUUGAUAUUAUGAUUACAGUUGUGCUUUAUAGUUAUUGAAGCAAGAGUAGGUGGUGAUGGAAUUUACAGAGGGUUGAGAAGUUCUGGUGAGGGUGAACGGCAUUCUUAAUGCUGAAAAUACAUGAAAAGGUCAUUUGAGUAUUCAAGUUUUCCAUGGGGUUUAGGGGGUCUUAUAUAACUGAGCUUGAACUAGAGGUUAGUUUGCAAAGCAAGUCCAAGUUUUCCAACAAAUGAGAAAGUACGGAACUGAUGGUUCUCAGGUGCUAGCUUCUAUUUUGUAUUUUCCCUUUUUUUUCUAGAACUUGCAGUGAUCUAAUAUACAUAUAUUAUGUACUUUUCUCUAAGUUAAGUCUCACGGUGAAGAACAUAGGUGAAAGGACAUAUGGAAAAUACAUAUAUUAUGUACUUUUCUCUAAGUUCAGUCUGAUUCCAGAGUUGAGCCUUAAUUUACCCCAAGUUGAGCCGUAUGGUGAUCUAUUACUUAACAUAGGUGAUCUAUGUUGCGGAAUUAUCUUGCAAGUUCCACCUUGCCCAAUUGUUAAGUAUAACGAGAAAUUAGUUUGAAGAAACUAUUGGAACUCCCUCUGUUAGUCAGAGAUAAACCAUGACUGCAGAGCAGCUGGCCACUCAAUGAGAAAUGAAUCGUGAUCGACAAAGAAUCUGUAGGCCAAAUAUGACGGAGGAGCAGAGGUCUACUGUACGUGAGCGUGAUCGUAUCCGACAUAGAGCCGUUAAGGAAAAGUUGAACCUUUUUUUAGGUUGCACAACAUGUGCAGGCAGAAGUUGAACGCGUGAUCGUAUCCGACAUAGAGCCGCUAAGGAAAAGUUGAACCUUUUUUAGGUUACACAACAUGUGCAGGCAGAAGUUGAACGCUAUAUGGAAUUAGGCCCUCAACACCGAGGUAAGUUGUAGGUAGGAUGUUAACCUUUUGAUGGUGUCGGCAAGGUUCUAUGUAUAUGAUUUUUUCACUUACAAGAAAUAGAAUUUUGUAACAGUAGUUUGUAUUGCUUCUAUUUGAAAUUUGAAGGCGGAUUUUUCCGCCUUAAUGUUUUAGUUUGUUACUCCCUAUGUUUUGUAACGGAAUGACAAGUCGGUAGGUGCAUUGCACGUGCGUCUUAAUUAAGAUGUUUG